rnacentral:lncRNA from 1 species
UGAGAGAAAGGGAGGAGUUUGGCGGGCUGAGGAGGGAAAGAAGUCCCUUCCAGUUUGAAAUAUGAUGGAAAGCAGAGACGAGAGAUGAUUUCCUAAGAAGAUCCCAGUAUGCAGAGCCAGGACUCUGGCAUUAAGAAAAUGCUACAGUUUGGAUGUUUGUCCCUCCAGAUCUCAUGUUAAAAUUGGAUCCCCGGUGUUGGAGGUGUGGCCUAAUGAGAGAUAUUUUGGUCGUGAGGGAGGAUCCCUCGUGAAUGGAUUAAUACUCUCUUGGGGUGGGUGAGUUCUUGCCUAUUAGUACUGGAGAGAGCUGGCUGUUAACAAGAGCCUGGCACCCCACCCCCUCCCUCUUGCUUUCUUUCCCACCCUGUGAUCUCUGGACACUUCAGCUGCACUUCCCCUUCGGAAGCAGCCUGAGGCCCGCAGCAGAGGCAGAUGCCAGUGCCCUUCUUCUUGUACAGUCUGCAGAACUAGACACAGUUACGGAACCCUCAGAUGGAGAAAAUGUCUUCCCUCUGCUGCAGGGGUGAAGAGAAGAAGAAGACCCCUCAUGCACCCAAUGCACCAGCAUCACAAGGAAUCCAGUGCCCUCUUGUCGCCCGAGUCCCACUGACUCAUCGCAUGAGACCGGAGCUGCCAGAGGGAGGUGGCACUGGAGCCUUGUGAAGAAGGUGCCUACUUCCCCUUCUGCCAUUGCCAUGAUUGUAAAUUUUCUGAGGCCUGACCAGCCAUGCAGAACUAAAGAAGACUCCAAGAGCUGACCAGAAGUCAGAGAGAGAGAUUUACGAGAACUAUCAAGAGAGAGCUAUGAUCACCAGUCUCUUAAUAAUUCACAAAUUAAUUGCAAGCCUAAAAUACAGUUAUCUCAACAUGCCUAUGAGGUAACUGUGGAAACAGAGAUAAUGGAAAACAAAGUGGAUUAUUACUAUUUUCCAAGAAAAUACUGCACUUCCCUUCUAGCCCUGAUGACCUGUGAGUGCUGAAAAGAAACCUACAGCAGUGUGGAUAGAAGAAGUUCAGAAAGAAGGCCAAGCAGGGAAGCACAGACAGGAGGACAAGGUGUGGCAGUUGGGAAAAUAAACCCUAAGACUGGGUCAAAGCAAAUUAAUCCCUCCUCACACGUGCACAUAGACUCCACGUUGGGGGAAGAAGCAGGUAGGAAUCCGAUUCCUAGUCAAGUUGCUGAGCAAAGCUGGAGGACAAAGAUAGUGGCAGAUCCUGAUGAAGAAGCUGGAAGGAGCUGGAUGAGGCUGAGCAGCCACCGCAGGAGCACAGUUCCUUACAGUCAUGCUGUAAGCAAGUACAAGAAUAACUGGCCCUGCUGUCCUCCCAUCACCAAGGACUUUAAGGGUGUGUGAGCAGAGACCAUUUUGCAUUCACUGCAGAAGAGGAAGACGAUGUAAAGAUGGAUGAGCCCAGUCACCAGGGUACCAUGGGUCUCAGGCUGGCAGCUAUGAGCCAGAGUGCUUCACUAGCUCAGCAAAUAUUUACACAGUUCCUACAAUGUGCCAGCUGCCUUUAUCCUAAGUGCUGGGAGUACAACAGUGAACACAGCAAAGUCUGCACCCCAGUUGGGAGGAACUCAUGAUCACAUGUGAAAGAAAGCAUGUCAGCAGAUAGGACACAGAGAGGAAGUGGAUGGAAUGGGGCCUUGAUGGAUGCUCAGACAUGAAGACAGACACCUCCUUGACUGACACAGAAAGAAGGCCGAGCUCAUCUGCAAUAAAAACACCAACAAAGAAAAUGCGAAGGUCACGGAAGGAUUAUAAGUUUGCAUCUGUCCGUCCGAGGUGGCAGCAGAGCCACUGAGUCCAGGACCAGGACUUGGUGUCCUUGAGCUGGAGAGUGAGCAGUGAGGGACAGAGUCAGCCUGCUGCCACCAUCCCACCCUGACAGAGAGUGCCCCUCCAUGGAAACAAAGGGUGUGUGCUUGACCCCAGGUGGGAAGAGGCAGAAUCAAGCAGAUUAAAAAGUCCUUGGGAGCAGAAUUCCUGCACUUGGCUUCUGUCCCAGACUUACUUCUAAGUUGGGCCACUUUCAACCAGGCGCAUGAAUCCACAUCAAGAGACCAGGGAAUUCCCCUUAAAGAGCAUGCUAAACAUAUUUUUCUACCUGACACCCAGAGCCUUCUCCAAAUAGCCAGCAUCUCUACGUCAGGAACUGCUGGGCUUCAGCAUGAGUGGGGAUUCAAGCUCUGGGCUCACUGCAGUCUGGCAUCACAUCCAAGCCCCACCCACACCCAGCUCAUCUCAGCUGCCCAGCGCUCACUACCUCAGCUGACUCAAGCCCUCUUCCAGAGACAAUGCAUCCCUUAAAUGAGACAGCCAGGUGGGAAGGGGCCCCCAGAGAAACUCCAACCAGUCUGUGCACUAGAGUGGAGCCACAGAAGUUCUGUGCUGUUUGCAGCAGGGAGAAGCCUGGCCCCUCCUCUUCCUGGGUGGAACCUGGGAUUCAAUCUGUGAGGUGGGAAGCGCACAGGCAAAAAGCACACUCUCUUGCUUCACUAAGAGUCUCUGUUACCCCUUUUUUCCCUUUUUGCCCAAUAAAUCCCAUUUUUCUCACUCUUCAAAUCAUCUACGAGCCUAAAUUUUCCUGGCUGUGUGACAAGGACCCUGUCUUUAAUUGAGCUAAGGAAAAGUCUCGCAACAUUAACAUUCCUUCCAAAUGUGCCUGUGGCUUUGUACACUUCUGUUUCUCUUGCCAUGAUAUCUCUUGUGCCUAACUCUGUCUGGCAGGUAGUAAGUGUUUAAUAAAUAGCUAAGAAAAAAAAAUUAAAAGGAAGGGAGAGGAGAAGGAGGGAUGACAAGCUCACUAGCAUUCAAAUAAAGUCACAACAAGGACUUGGUGGGGUGGUGUAAGGAUCCAAGCCCAUUGGAUAAAUGGAUACAAGAUACGAAUGUUCCCUUCCAGCCUCAUUUGUUACAUCUUUGACUUAAGCCCUAAGUGUUGAGCAUUUUUCUGGCACUCCCCUGGAGAAUCGCCUGCAGAUUCGGUUACAUGGUGGAUUCAGCAGACUCCACACACUGAGCUCUGUGCCAGGGCCUGGCUGUUUUCUGGCUCAAUCCUCUCAGCAGCCCUAGAAGUGGAGUUUGGUACUCCUGCUGUGGAGAUGAGGAAACAAGACUCUGAAAAUUUAGGAGAUGGCCCCAACCUGGCAGCUAGUGGCACCUAGCACUGAGCUCCAUCUUGCCCUCUGGGCCCAGAACUCCUUUGGUGCCUGUGGUGUGCCUGCGAUUGCCUUGUGAGGUGGGGCUUACUGUGUAGAAAGAGCCAAAAGUAUUCAGCAAGAGAUCUAUGGUCCAGCAUGGUGACUAUACUUAAUAACAACAUACUGUGCACUCCAACAUUACUGACAGAGUAGAUUUGAAAAGCUUUCACCACAAAUAAAUGACAACUAUGUAAGCUAACGUAUAUGCUAAUUAGCUGAAUUUAGCACUUCCACAGUGUGUACAUAUUUCAAAACAUGGUUUUGUACACCAUAAAUAUAUACAAUUUUACUUGUCAAAUAAAAAAUAAGUAGUAAGAACAAAAGUUUUAAGAACUGUCGUAAAAUGAAAUCAAGCCAUUUCUGCUACCGGACAGACUCGCCUUCCAGGCUCCAUGCCUCUUCUUUCCUCUUGACUUAAACUAACUCCCUGGACUAAAACCUUGGGUCCUGCUACCUUCACCAUAUGCUGCCCAUCAGCCCUUGGUGGCCCCUUCAACAGCGGGGCCUGGGCCAUCAGAUCCUCGGCCUUCCUACUGUGGCCUCUGCCUGCCAACUUGUCCUGACAUCUCCCAAAGUGAAAAUGCUCAUGGCCAAAUUUGGCCCCAGCCCAGGGCCUCGGCUUCGCAGCACGAGCAGGGCCACAGCUCUGGGUGCCUGAGUCGUGCGUCAUCCACAAGCAAGGGCACUGCUCAUGCUCCUGUUGCCAGUGGGCAAACCAGGGCAGGACUUGAUGUUAUUUGUCCCAUUAAUCAUGAUCUUGGAGAAAAAAAAUCUUGAGAUGACUAUUUCAGCACACCACAUAGUAACUGAAUGUUAGUCACAUCAAUCCAUUUUCAGACAGCAAAGGAGGCAAAUUUGAAGAAGCAGAACAAAUCUAAGGAGUGGAGUCCUCAUCCAUGUCGUGGAAGUCUCAUCAGUGAUUUCAUGCCAAGUCAAGGCCGAUGCAGAGGAAGUAACUGUGGACCAGCAAUGAGAGAUUUGGCUUCUAUCCCUGUGCCAUCCUGACUCCCCUGUGACUUUCCCUGUCUGUAAAUGGAGAAUCUUGGAGUCCCAGGCCCCAGCUGGCAGUCACGAUGGUUAUUUGAGCAGAACCCUUGCAGUGUGGCAUGCUUUGGAGAAGAGAACCAGCACGUGCUAACAGCCAUUGAAGAGCAAUGACAGCACUGCUCCCAUGUCCACUGAGGAACAGAGUGACUGCUGUUCCUCUUGCUGGUGCACCGUUCUCCAAUGACACUGGCGGAGAGUCAAGGAGUGAACUGGGAGAGGAAGCAAUUGUAUCGGAAAAAUAUCGCCUAAACAGAAGAGUUCCCCAGAAGCUCAAUGUGAUAGUUAACUGCAUGUGUCAAAUGUGCUGGGCCACAGAGCCCAGAUAUGGGAUUAGACAUUAUUCUGGGUGUGUCAGUGAGAGUGUUUUGGAUGAGAUUAACAUUUAAAUUAAUAGGCUGUGGGCAAAGCAGGACCUUUGGCUGUGACCAAAACCUAUCCCCAUGGGAUCCUGUAAGACACAAAUGAGGAAACCUCAGCCUGCCCCACUUUUGUUCCCAAUGGGGCACGUAGGAAGGGCAGCUUCACCAUAGGGCUUAAAAUUGGCCCUUAGACCCAAAGCACUUAGACCUGCAUCCUACUCAGGGAAUCUCUCCUUUAUUAUUGCCCCUCAAAACUUGAUACCAGUUUCUCCAAUGUUUGAUUCAAGUAUUAGAAAAUGCUUCAGAAUAUCCAUUGAAAGAGAUAAAGGCAAUAAUAAACAACUCUUCAUUAAGUAUCUACUAUAUUCAUAGCACUGUUAUAUCCAUGGGACAAUAAAGUAAUUAACCUUCAUGCUGAACUUUCCCAUGCAUCUUACUAUUUGCUAUUAACAAACAUCUUGUGAGAAAAAGAAUAUAAGCACAUGUUGUAGAUAAUGAAAAUGAGUUUUAGAGGGUUCAAAUUGAGUUGUGCAAUGUGAGGAAUGUGGAAUUUGGAUUCAGGUGGGCGGUUCAUCCUAACCUUGAGAGUUUUACUACCAUGAAUCUGUCUUAGAGGAGAAAGCAUCACUGACUUCCCCUGCAUAUUUAUGGACUCAAAUUCAUCAUUGCUUGGUCCCCAAGCACCUCCACCUCUAUAUUGGCCUGCAGCUUAGGGGAGUGUUUUUUUUUUUUUUUUUUUGAGACAGUUUCACUCUUGUCUCCCACGCUGGAGUGCAAUGGCACUAUCUCAGCUCACUGCAACCUCCGCCUCCUGGGUUCAAGCGAUUCUCCAGCAUCAGCCUCCUGAGUAGCUGGUAUUACAGGCACCUGCAACCACGCCCAGCUAAUUUUUGUAUUUUUAGUAGAGAUGAGAUUUCACCACGUUGGCCAGGCUGGUCUCGAUCUCCUGACCUCAGGUGAUCCACCUACUUCGGCCUCCAAAAGUGCUGGGAUUAUAGGUGUGAGCCACCACACCCAGCCAAGGGAGAUUUUUAUAUGACCAUUUGGAGGAAAAUUCUGUAAGCAAUAUAAUUAUUAUUUUUAAAAAUUACCUUUCUCUUAUAAUUUAUAAGAAAUAUAUCAGUCAGGAGAAAGAGGCAGAAAAAAACCAAUCUAAGUAAUUACUGGUCUUCUCAACUGUCAAUCCACAUCAAAAUUAAGCCUGCUCCAUCUUUGUUGCCACGCUCAUAAUUUAUGAAAUAUUUGUCACUGCAUAUGCACUUUGCACAGUUGAAUUUAUCAUGAGUGAAGUGUUUCAUUUGUUUUCUCAAUAAGCUAGCAUUCUACAUUUCUGCAAGGGUAAGUAUGCAAGUUUUGCACAUUAAAAUAUACAUAGAGGUCUCAUUAGUAACUUCAAAAUAUUCUCAGGUCAGUUUCUGAGGCAGGAAAGCAUUUCUCAAGGGUCGGCUAGGUGUCAGGUGCUGGGAUGGGGCCUUCACAGUAACAGACCAGGGGCUUCUUCACAAAGCCUUUUGUUUGGCAGGGUAGGGGAAUGAGUAACAAAUAAACAAGAAACUGCAGGACUAUUAUGAUUGGAAUGAAGAAAGCAGCCAUCUCAGGUGGUCCAUCAAGGCUCCUUUAGAUCAAGGGAAAAGAAAUGUCCCUUAAGGAGAUGGCAUUUGGGCUGAAAUAUGAAUGUGAGAAGGAGCCAACAACUCACCUUGCAAACAUUCUAGGAACAGCCUUAGGCGGAGGGACAGGUGCAAAAGCCCAGAGGCAGGGAUGCUUGCACUGGGGCGGGACAGAGGUCAGCACAGCAGGGAUGACAUGGUUCCCUAGGGGGAUGCGUGAGUCCUUUUAUAAUAAAAUAUAAUAAAACAGUACAAUAAGGCUUAAUCUCACAAGCAAGUGCUCCAAGUCAUAGCCGAGACAACAUCAGAUUCCUUCAAGUGGAAACUGUGAUUUGUGGGAUUCCAAAUGAAGAAGAACCUUAAUAUUUUGUAAAGAAAAGGAGUAAAGUUCAAAUUAAUAGGGGAAAAAAUGGGGAGACAGUUCAGAAAGCCCAGAUGCAUGUUAGGACUUUCAGGAAUCAUUUGAGAAAAGAUAUAAAAUAUACAGCUUUGCACCCCACUUAAGACAAAGCAGUAAACAAAUCGAUGCCAUAUUUGGUUAUACUAAUUUCUAUUUUACUCUAAUCCUCAACAAUGCUAAGGGAAAAGUCCAAAACAGCAGAGCGUAAGGCUCUCCAGAGGUGGAAAGCCGUUCUUAGGCAAUCAUGAUUGGGAACACAUGCUUGGCGUCAUUCAUCACAGCAGAGGAAUCUCUGAGGAAGUGUCAUAAUUGGGGGUAGAAACAUGAACAGAUCUGUGAACCCCCAAAAGUUUUGUUUAAAGUAUUUUUAGUAGACAAAUAAUCAUUACAUAUAUUUAUGAUGUCUAGCAUGAUGUCUUGAUAUGCGUACACACUGCAGAAUGAUUAAAUGAAGCAACUGAGCACAUCCAUCACCUCACAUACUACCUACUCUUGUGGUGAGAGCAUUUAAAAUCCACCCUCUUAGCAUUUUUUAAAUAUACAACAUAUUGUUAUUAACUGUAGUCACCAUGCUGUAUAAUAAAUCUCCUGAACUUAUUUCCAUCUAAUUGAAAUUGUAUUUCCUUUGAUCAACAUCUGCCCCACCCCUUCCCACUCCUCCCCACUGCCCCCAGCCCUUGGCAACCAGCAUUCUACUCUCGGCUUCUGUGAUUACAACUUUUUAAGAUUCCACAUAUCAGUGAGAUCAUAUAGUAUUUGUCUUUCUGUAUCUGGCUUAUUUCACUUGGCAUAAUGUUCUCCAGAUUUAUCCAGGUUGUCACAAAUGACGGGAUUUCCUGCUUUUUUUAAAACUGAAUGGUAUUCCAUUGUGUCUAUAAACCACAUUUUCUUUAUCCAUUCACUCAGUGAUGGACAUUUAGG